rnacentral:lncRNA from 1 species
AAAAACAAUGUGUGGUGGACCCUACAAAGAUGUCCUCAAAUAAGCUUAGUUUAUAUAUAGGGCUAACGACAAAGACUCCCUAAAGGUUUGGGGUCAUUCUCAAUAUGGGUCAUGAGUUUCAAUUUCAUCAAUUUACACCCCAGUGUUUUAAACUCUGACCAAUUUAAAUACUCUGUUAAGUUGACCGUUUGGUCAAACGUUAUGACGUGUACACUGUAGGACCUACCUAUUUAUUAAUCCAUAAAAAAAUGAUAAAAUGAUUUAAAAAAAUAUUUAAAAAAUUAAAAAAACCCAGCCCCUCCCCUGCCCAACAACCCAACGCCCACGGGUUCACACACCCUCUCUCGCCUACGAACAUACAACCACAGCGGCAUCACAUACAACUAAUUUCUUUUCUGUUCAAAUUAGGGGGGUUGUUUAAUCCCCAAAUUCAUGAACUAUUGGACAUCUUUCUUCUCUCUUUCUCUCACCUGCCUCACUCUCUAUUGGUUGACCACUUUCUAGAUCUGAUGCCAUUGUCCCUUUUCCCUUCUCUUUCUUAUUUUUCUAUUUGCCUG